rnacentral:rRNA from 1 species
GAAAGGGGUGCUAAUACCUGAUACGAUGCGAGUUUCAUAUGGAGUUCGCAUGAAAGGUGACCUCUUCCUUGAAAGUUGCCGCUCGAAGAUGAGCCCGCGUCCCAUUAGCUUGUUGGUGGGGUAAUGGCCUACCAAGGCUCAGAUGGGUAGCUGGUCUGAGAGGAUGAUCAGCCACACUGGAACUGAGACACGGUCCAGACUCCUACGGGAGGCAGCAGUGGGGAAUAUUGCGCAAUGGGGGAAACCCUGACGCAGCAACGCCGCGUGAGUGAUGAAGGCCUUCGGGUCGUAAAGCUCUGUCAGGUGGGAAGAACAUGGGAAGUUCCAAUACAACUUCUCUUUGACGGUACCACCAGAGGAAGCACCGGCUAACUCCGUGCCAGCAGCCGCGGUAAUACGGAGGGUGCAAGCGUUGUUCGGAAUCACUGGGCGUAAAGCGCGUGUAGGCGGCCCAUUAAGUCAGAUGUGAAAGCCCUCGGCUCAACCAAGGAACUGCAUCUGAAACUGGUAGGCUUGAGUACGGGAGAGGAGAGUGGAAUUCCCGGUGUA